GUGCUUGUUUGGUCAGCACACAUAGAAAAACUGAAAUGAUACAAAAAAAGAUUACUGUAACCCCUGUGCAAUGGUGACAUACAAAUUCUUAAAAUGUUUUAUAUUUUU
ensembl:snRNA U6 U6 spliceosomal RNA